GAGGUCCCAUCGUCACCGAUGGUGGGCACGGGGUUGUGGUAAAGUGGAGUCGGUCUCCACUUUGCGUUUCGGCUCCAUUGUGGGAAUCGGCCUCUCCUCUUCCUGCCCACGGAACAGUGAGUGUCUGUCAGCGCCUCACUGCACCGGCUCUCUGCCUCAGGGGCGACUGUAUGAACUCCUCAACCUGAGCGGCUGUCUCCUGGUCGAGGGAGCUCACCACGUGGUAGUAACAAGUGGCAUCCGAGUUUAUCUGCCGAAUGUGGAAUUGGGCUUCUGCUUGCUGAAACCAUAGAUUACAGACUCCAGUAGCUGAAGUGAAGUUAACUGGACUACAGUCACCUGCUUUUUAUCUUCCACCCUUCUUCAACAAUGGUUUUCAACUCCACUGGGACCUUUCCGUAACAGCCAGGAUGCAGAAGAGCGGAAAACGACAAAUAUUCUUCACCUUUUUAAGAAUUGCAAUAGGGACAAGACGAAAAACUAUACCCCGGUGACUCUUACAUUAGUGGUAGAGAUAUCAUAAAUUGCUGAUAUUACUAGAAAAGAUAUUUAAUGAUAGGAUCAGCUUGCAUCUGAAAAAGCAUAAACAAUUUCAGAGUAGCCAAUAUAGCUUUGCAUGGGCAACGUCAACUCUUGCAAACAUGGCCGAACGUUUUAAGUGACAAAUUCACUUGAUGAGAGCUGGGUAGUGGGUACAGGAUACAAGGACUUUGGUAAAGCUUUCAACAAGAGUCCCACAACAAGAUCCACAGCUUGGAAGCACAUGACUCAAAAGAAAUUUGGUAGAAUAUAUUCAAAAUGUACUCAAUCAGAGAACACAGAAGGUAAUGGUUGAGGGGUGUGAUUCUGACUGGACACCUGUGAACAGUGGGGCCCACAAGGAAUUCUACUCUUUGUGAAAUGAUUUGGAUGAAAAUGAAGGAGGGCUGAUUUGUUGGUCUGCAGAGACACAGAAAUUGGUGCAGUUAUGGAUCGUGAGGAAAGUUGCCAAAGGAUUCAGCAGAACAUAGACAGGCUGGAAAGGUGGGCAGAGAAAUGGGAGAUAAGUCGGUGUACUCUGGGAAGUCAAAUGUCAGAGGAUUUCUUCGGAAUUCCUCUCCCCAUCAGAGUGGCUGGAAUUACAGUUACGGCAGUGACAUGCUCCACCUCAGGAUGUGGGAGUCACUCAGUGUCCCCGAUAACUUCACAUGAGGGAAGAGCACCGAGGUGCAGCUCCUGACUGACCGUGUGAAGGAAAUGAAGAUGGAGAUGGACAGACCGAGAGUUUCCAGGAUGCUGAGACCAGAGAUUCAUGAGUUGGUCACACCUAAGGUCAGGAUGCAGACUGUUGUGUGACCAUCACGACGGAAAGGGGAAGAGACAGACAGAGUAAUGUCUGCCUGUGGCCGUGACCCUCAGCAACAAGUAGACUCCUUUGGAUACCCCUGGGAUGAUGAACCAGAGACAGCAGCCCGCCAGGUCGGUGGUACUGAGACCCCAGACCGAUGCUCCGCGGGAGGAAUGGUCAAGCAGAGCAGUGAUGACAGCAGACUCACAGUACAGGGGAUGUGCAGGAGAUUCUGUGGCAGCAACAGAGAUGACACGAUGGUCUGUUGUCUUCUGGCUACUGGGGUCAGGUUCGUCUCAGAUGUGAAGGAUUUCCUAAAGAUAAACUUGCCAGUCGAGUCAGUGGUCAGUGGUUAGAACAAAGGUAAGGAGCAAAUUCCUUGGAAAAAGCUAGUGAAUCUGUGCUGCCUAUGUCAGGAUGUUGUUCAGUGACAAGAGAUCAGCAUUUAACACCGUCAUUUCCACAGUCCUGAUCAAUAAGCAAUGGAACCUGGUCCCUCUGCAAAUGGAUCCUCGACUUCCUAACUGGGAGACCACAAUCUGUGCGGAUUAGUGAUAAUCCACACAGAUUGUUCAUGGAGAUGGGCUAACCCCUAUGGACAUCAAUGGAUCUGGGGUUGAGAAGGUAAACAGCUUUAAAUUCCUCGACAUCAACAUACCCGAGGAUCUCACGUGGUCUAUACGUACCUGCUGAGUGGUGGAAAAGGCAAAACAGCGCCUCAUUCACCGCAGACAACUGAGGAAGUUUGCUCUGGGCCCCCAAAUCCUAAGUACUUUCUACAGGGGCACAACUGGGAGCAUCCCGACUGGCUGCAUCACUGCCUAGUAUGGGAACUGUACUUCCCUCAAUCGCAGGACUCUGCAGAGUGUGUUGCGGACAGCCCAGCGCAUCUGUAGUUGUGAGCUUCCCAUCAUUCAGGACAGUUUCAAAGACAGGUGUGAGAAAAGGGCCUGAAGGAUCAUUGUGGACCCAAGUCACCCCAAGCACAAUCUAUUCCAGCAGCAACCAUCUUUAUAUAUUAGCAUGUCCUGCAUUGAACUGCUGCUGCUAAAUUAACAAAUUUCCUGACACCUGCCGGUGGUAAUAAACCUGAUUCUGGUCCUGACUCUGAAAUCAUCCCCACAGACGGAUGUGACCGAUUCAUUGGGUAUAUUUAAUGUGGAGGUUCUCGAUUGUGGGUGUGGGGGGUGGAUAAGAGUGUUUCAGAGGGUUAAGAGAUCGGUCAUGAUCUCUUACACCUGGCAGAAUGGGGCAGCAGACUGGAUGGGCCAAAUGGCCUAAUUCUGCUGCUGUGUCUUAUGGUCCGAUGGUCUCGGAGCAGCUGCAGGACAUUUCAAAGGGAAGGUUGAGCAGCCGGACAUAGUGGUGGACGGUGCAUGUUGGUAGUAGCAAUGUAGGGAUACGAGGGUUGUGUCCUGUGCAGUGAAUUUAGAGAAAAUAGACAGAAACUAAGACGUGACAGGGUGGAGGUUGAAAGGGAAUCUGAAGGUUGAGUUGAUGGAGGUGGAUAAAAUUACGUGAGGCAUACAAAGGUUAGAGAGUCAGAGACUGUUUCCCGUGGUGUGGCUGUCUAAAGCUAUAGUUGUAAGGUGACAGGGGGUAGUUUAAAGGGGAUAUGAAGGGUAAAUAUUUGACACAGAGAAUAGCUGGUAUCCCGAAUGAGCUGCCAGAUGAGGUGGUGGAGGAAAAAAAAACAAAGUCUCUGUUGAUGAACACUUCCCAGGAACCUGACAUUACUCUGUUCAUCCUGCCCUGGUUUAACGUCCCGGUGCUGGGUCCGUUGUUGUUUUCAAUCUGUAUAAACGAUCUGGAUGAGAAUGUGGUAAACUGCAUCAGCAAAUUUGCAGAUGACAACAAGAUUAGGGGUAUGAUGGACAGCAAAGGUGGCUAGCAAAUCUUGAAGUGGGAAGUGAACUGGCUUGCAAAAUGAAGUUGGUUACAAUCUGGAACACACUUCCUGAGGGAGAGGUGCAGGCUGGUAUUUAAGGAACAUCUGGCUGAACAUUUGAAUCACCAGGACAGGGUAGGAGACAGACCAAGUGCUGAGUUAAUGGAGACAGAUUCUCGAUGGUCAGUAUAGACAUGCAGAAACCACUGACUGUGAAAGUUCAGUGGGAACCUGGAACACAGAACUUCAGGAUGGACUCACCUAAAAGACUCAGAACCCAGGACAAUGGAUUUCUGUUGGACAAAGGUAUUAAAGGUAUUAAGGUUAGUAGUGAAUCAAACCCCUCAAAAGGCUAUCAAAAUGCACCCAUACCUCAUGCACCACUAACAGUACUUUUAAAUGGGAAUUCGGUGAGGAACACUGGUUAAUAGCAGGAGAGAUGGCGGACAGCUUGGUCACAAUGGAAGGGUGCAAAUAUCUUCUCAGAGGAUAAGGGGUUCAGUGGAACAACCUCACAGCUGAGAAUGAAGGUAACAAACCCCACAGCAGUGGAGGACUGCUGUUGCCAGGGUUGGCCAGGAUAGAAACAGACCCUCUGGCCCAUCACAUUUAUGCUCCCCAUCAUGCACAGCUAUUCUAAUCCCACUUUCCUGCAUUAGUUUCAUAUCCCUCCAGGCCUUGCUCUCUGAACUGCCUGUGCAUGUGUCUCUAAUAUUGUUACACAGUUCCCUGUAUGUGGCAUCACACAGAGACAGGGUUGUGUGGUCUACUUGCCUUAUCAGCCAAAGAACUGCCUCUCAUUGGAAUUGUACAAAACUGUUUAAAGACAGAUUUAAAGGGAAUCUGAAGGGUACAUACUUCACACAGAGAAUAGCUGCUAUCCUAAAUCAGCUGCCGGCGGAGGUGUGGGGGCAGAAACCCGCAAAGUCUCUGAUCAUUAAACCUUCUCAAGAACCUGACAUUCACUGUGUACAUCCUGCCCUGGUUGAACCGCCCAGAAUAGAUACAGUGAUUCAUACAGAACUGAAACCGUCCCUUCGGUAAAACUCAUCGAGGCCGACCAAGUUGUCGACCUGAACUCGUCCCAUCCGCCUGCAUUAGGCCCGUGUCCCUCUCAACCUUUCCUAUCCAUGUAACUGUGCAAAUAUGGUUUGAAUAUUGUACCUGAGGCAGAGAGCCGGUGUGGUGAGGCGCUGACAGACACUCACUGUUCCGUGGGCAGGAAGAGGAGAGGCCGAUUCCCACAGUGGAGCCAAAACCCAAAGUAGAGACCGACUCCACUUUACCACAACCCCGUGCCCACCAUCCCGGACCGUUCCCAUGGAAACGACGUCGGUGACGAUGGGACCUCUGUGGCGUCUUCAUCUCGUCAUAAUCGCCGCACGGCAUCAUCGCAACACGGUGUCACGUGACGGGAGGCGGGGUCAGAGAGAACUGUCAAUCAGUGGUGCCACUGAGAAACUGAGAGCAUUGGAACACAGUAGGUACAGAGGGGCAUUUCCGGGAACAGUGACCCCACCCCCCACCCACGGGAAUUGAGUGUGUUAUAGACAGUAAUAUUCACAUUUUAAUUUGACUUUUCGGUCUUAUAAAUAGUUAAUGUUUGUAUUUUGUAUAAUCUUGUGUAUAUAAUCUUUUAUAAUUUGGGGUGAAAUAACGUUGUAUGUGGAUCACUGGACCUCUGCAUGAAAACAGAACGUUAUGGAGAAAUAAGUCAAAGUCAACAUUUUAAUCCAAAUUAAGUUAAUAGAAACGUAGAAAACCUCCAGCACAAUACAGACCCUUCAGCCCACAAAGUUGUGCUGAACAUGUCCCUACCUUAGAAGUUACUAGGCUUACCCAAAGCCCUCGAAGCUCCAUGUACCUCCAUGGACAUAGCUUUUUCUAAGCUCCAUGUACCUAUCUGAAAGUCUUUUAAAAGUCCUUAUCUUAUCCGCCUCCACCACCGUUGCCAGCAGCCCAUUCCACGCACUCACCACUCUCUGAAUGUAAAAACUUGCCACUGACAUCUCCUCAGUACCUACUCCCCAGCACCUUAAACCUGUGUCCACUUGUGGCAGCCAUUUCAGUCCUGGAAAAAGCCUCUGACUAUCCACACAAUCAAUGCCUCUCAUCAUCUUAUACACCUCUAUCAGGUCACCUCUCAUCCUCCGCCGCUCCAAGUAUAAAAGGCCAAGUUCACUCAACCUAUUCUCAUAAGGCAUGCUCCCCAAUCCAAGCAUCAUCCUUGUAAAUCUCACCUGAACCAUUUCUAUGGUUUCCAAAUCCUUCCUGUAGUGAGGCGAGCAGAAUUGAGCACAAUACUCCAAGUGGGAUCUGUCCAGGAUCUUAUAUAGCUGCAACAAUACCUCUCAGCUCCAAAGCUCAAUCCUACGAUUAAUGAAUAUCAAGGCACCGUAUGCCUUCUUAACCACAACGUCAGACUGCUUAGCAUCUUUUAGUGUCCUAUGGAUUCAGACCUCUGAUCCUCCACACUGCCAAGAGUCUUAUCAUUAAUGCUACAUUCUACCAUCAUAUUCAAACUACCAAAAUGAACCACAUCAUACCUUCCUGCCACUUCUCAGCCCAGAUUUGCAUCCUAUCAAUGUCCCGCUGUUACCUCUGACAGCACUCCACACUAUCCACAACACCCCCAACCUUUUGUGUUAUCAGCAGAUUCGCUAACACAUCCCUCCACUUCCUCAUCCAGGUCAUUUAUAAAAAUCACAAAGAGUAGGGGUCCCAGUACAGAUCUCUGGAGCACACCACUGUUCAUCAGCCUCCAUGUAGAAUAUACCAACUCUAUAACCAGUCUUUGCCUUCUGUGGGCAAACCAGUUCUGGAUCCACAAAGCAACGUCCCCUUGGAUCCCAUGCCUCCUUACUUUCUCAAUGUGCCUUGCAUUGUGUUCCUUAUCGAAUGCCUUGCUGAAUUCCAUAUACUCUACAUCUACGGCUCUGCCUUCAUCACUGUGUGCAGUCACAUCCUCAAAAAAUUCAACCAGGCUCGUAAGGCACGACCUGCCUUUCACAAAGUCAUGCUGAAAAUUCCUAAUCAUAUGAUGCCUUCAUAAAUCCUGCCUCUCAGUAUUUUCUCCAUCAACUUACUGACCUCUGAUGUAGACUCACUUCUUGAGACUUGCUCAGAGCACAGCAACGGUUCGAUUUUGUUUUGCAUCGGCCUUGUCUGAGAACCUGGACUUUGGAGUCAACUGACUUUGAAGACUCGCGCUAUUCGUUCAAUAAUUUGAUGUUCUUUUGAGCCCGUUACCUGUUUGAGAGUUUUGGUUACUAGUCCUGUUUUUGCCCAGCAUUUAUUGAUUUACUUUCAUUUGAACACUGUUCACAUGGAAGAUUUGUGAACUAUCAACCCACUUCAGUGUCUCUCACAUUGCACUUUGGCCAUAUCCAAACCAGGGCGACAAAACAAACCCCAUUUCAACAAUGUAUCGGAUUACUAAAAUAUCGCACCUUAGAAUUAAUGUCUUUGCUGAUGUAUGGAACCCACAGAUGAACCCAAUACUCUGAGAAACAGAGAAAAUGCUGAAUAGUUCUUGUCUGCUGAGUGACGUGCGUCUUCCUCACUGUCAGUUGCGGUUUUCACGUUCGUUUUCUUCCACACAACCCAAAACACCUUGACCUGUUACACAACCCCAAACCACACGCACUACCACCACAGUGUGUAAAAGGACAUACUCACCAGGACUCCUUCGCUUUCCUUCCCAAUAUAAGUCCAGGACUCGCUCACUUUCCUUCCCAAUAUAAGUCCAGGAUGAAAUCAGCCCGAUUCUACUGAAAUAGGAAAUUCCAUGUUCACUGGCAGGUUUGCAAAUGCUACAUUAUGUUGUUAUGCGGGCAGCCCCCUCCUUUGUGAGAAUUGCAAGAGCACUAGUUGGGCGGGGGUGGUGUCAGUAGACCCAGGAAAUGGGAGAGAGACAUGCUGGAUGCCUCGUUCCCCAGUGAUGCAAAAUAACGCAACAUUGACCAUUGUCUCCUGGAGACCACAUUUGUGGAUUGGGGACUAUGCUACGUGUAAGCCCUCGGGCAAAGUGGGCUGGUUGAGAAGAGAUUGCAUCAUCCCAACCUGAUUGAUAUCUGUGACCCCAUGAGGAAGUAUAAAAGAGGGUCUGGGGGAACAACCCCUUCAGACACACCAGAAGAAACGCUAAUGAUCCCGUAGUAGCGGGAAGCCAUUUGAAGGAAGCCACGUGCGUUCGAUUCCCCUUUGCUUUGGAGCCAGUGGCAGGUACCAUAGAACCGAUGUUCUUGAACUAACAACGGGAAACCAACUUUCCCGAUUCAACGGAUUUGCUUCUUAAAAGACCCGGGCAAGUUUCUUUUCUCACAAAUCUCUCUCUCUCUCUCUCCAACAAGUGAAAACCCAGCAGUCCCCAAAGGCUGAAGCCUGCAGGAACUGAGUGACUUUUAUAUUUCCAUCGGACAAAUUAUUAUCCCCUAGACAAACGAUCGAGCUGUUUCUUAUUGAUGGUUAUUAUUAGACCCACGCUUUUAGAUUGAGUAGUGACGAUGUAUAUUAUCUGAAUGUUUAUAUUAAUCUUAUUUUUGUGCCCCUUUAUA